CCGGGGGCCGCCGCCCAUGUGUCCGCGCUAGCCGUUUUCUCGGCAUCUCGGGCCUCCUCCGCAAGAUCCCCCCAAAAGGACUGCGCGCGCUGCUCUGCCUCCUGCGCCGGAUCGACGACCGGCAGGGAAGGGGGGAGGAGCCAAGCAUUCCUACCUGGAUAUGAUGUGAGUUUUGGAACACUAGAACAGCCUUUCCCCACUGGAUUCCCAGAGGAGCACCUUUCUUCUCCACUGGAUUCCCAGAGGUAGACCAAGCCCAUCUAGAUCACCACUGGACCUUCAGAAGAAAACUACACCCUUCUACAGGAUCACUGCUGUUGUAGUGUGUUAGCUUGGUAUUGGACUCUCAACGUGAUCUCGUCCACACGGAUGCAGCCCAAAGCCACUGCCGCCAAGGGGCGUCCGUAGGAGCAACCCUGGGGCUCUGCCACCGGGGUUGACUCCCCACUGCUGCAGCUGCCCGCUGGCCGCCCUGCUAGCCGGACGGACAUUAUUUUAAGGCCGCUGACCACUGCACACUGCUUCAACAGAACCACACCUGUCCUGCCAGGAGGACUGCAGCCACCAUUCAGACUGCUACCAACACCAUGACCCACAGGGUGUAAGGUUGUAUUCUGACUCUGUCAGGGUU